AUGGGUGUUUCUCUAGCCUCUGAACCUGCCUGCUUGUUUUGUGAUUCCAUGAUUAUAACCUUGAACUCCGUUCCAGUAUCCUGUUCGUGCAUCACCUACCUUGCCUGGAGUUGUUCCCACGUCUCGCCGCUCAACGAUCCUCUGGACUCCUCUCUCCACGUCUGCCCGCCUGCCUCACGCUCUGAACUCCUCAUCUGGUCCAACCUUCCUCAGUUCACCUCCGCUCUGGUUCCGAUUCCUGACCGUGAGAGUGAGUAUUACGACAGUGUGUCGCAGAGACCUCUCCAUAAGCCUGGAGUCUCCAGGUGGGACGGUGUCUCUGCUGUUGGACAUGCCUCCACACUGAGUCUGAAGAACCGGACCCUGAUGAGGUUGCACUGCUGGGGGGAGCAGCCGCGGGGCCUGUGGACCAUCAAGGUGACCAACCACAAAGGGACGGAGAGCAGCUGCACAAGGCCAAGUGUGGAGAAGGUUGCAUCAGCUUUGCUCAGCAUCACACUCAUCAUGUACGGCACAUUCAACCCAAACCAGACCAGCAGAGAGUGA
rnacentral:lncRNA from 1 species